rnacentral:rRNA from 1 species
UACGUAGGGUGCAAGCGUUAAUCGGAAUACUGGGCGUAAAGCGUGCGCAGGCGGUGAUGUAAGACAGAUGUGAAAUCCCCGGGCUCAACCUGGGAACUGCAUUUGUGACUGCAUCGCUGGAGUACGGCAGAGGGGGAUGGAAUUCCGCGUGUAGCAGUGAAAUGCGUAGAUAUGCGGAGGAACACCGAUGGCGAAGGCAAUCCCCUGGGCCUGUACUGACGUCAUGCACGAAAGCGUGGG